GACCCAUGGCAGAGGUAUCUUUUCCUCGCGAACUCCAGCCCAGCGAAAUACAGAGAAAAGAGGCCUCUGCUAGCAGGGAAAGUCAGUAGCAACUUUAAGUAGAAAUUGAUUGUUAACUUAAAUUCCUUUAAAUGUAGUAUUGACUUUAAGUAACUUUCUUUGCCUUUAUCGAAAACUUAUUAUCUUUAGGAGAUUUAAGUGUCUUUCAUUAGUUCUAAAUUUCAUCAUAUUCGUUGGACUUAGAAAAUAUUUACCGUAGUUUAGAAGUUAAUUUCGUUUCUAAACAUAAUAUUUUUUUGGCUAAUAUCAGGAACGUUUUAUAAAACGCAUAUAAAUAGCUCUAAGAAUAUUCGGUUUCUUGUUUAACCAAGUGAUUUGUAUUUUGGGAGAAAGAAAAAACGAUGAAAAAUUGAUAUUCGCAUUAUUUUAGGAUUACUUUGCCUUUAGCAGUAAUAAUAACAGCUUCACCGGCGGAGAGGAAGUCAGUCAUAUGCGAGAGGAAGUGACGCACAAGCGUAUCUAUUGUUUUCCCUUCACGUGACCACCACGGCGGGCUAUUCGCAUAGCGUAUUUAGAAGUGUGACUUUGGUACAACUAACUUCUCUCUAUAUCCACGCAAAAAGAUGCGCUAUUUCUUUAAAUGACACCAAAUCGCUCGGCAAAGCCUACCAAUGAAAACAUGUUGAUCACAUAACCUUCAAGUUUGGAGGGAAAACAGAGCUUUAAAAGCGGGAAAUCAGCGACUGCGUGCGUGAGGUGAGAAUUCAACAGUGAAGACAGAACUCGCUGAAAUUGUCGCCGAAAGGGAGCCUCAGAUACUUUCAGCUGCAUUAAACAGUAUUUCCAAAGCCUGAAGGAUGACAUAAAUAAAAAGUAUGAUGGGACGCUGGAUGCUUAUAGGAAAUCAUGCAGACAGUACCAGACGGUCAUCAUAAAACAGCAGAAAGUCCUAAAUGCUGUGGAGACUAUCAACUGGCCAGAGGAGAAGGAGAGGUUUGCUGAUGUUCUGAAUGAUGUACACAACAUUUCAUCGGAGAAGAGCGAGGAAGAGGGAGAUGGGGUUGUCUUCUUCGUUAAAUCAUUGAAAAGGGCGAAAAAUGAGCUUAGAAUUUUGAAGGAGUUAGAGAGCCAUCACUGAGAAUGUAACUUAGUCGCAGGGCUUUGCUCAAGAUGGCAAAGAGAGUGAGAGGAGUAAGACGAUCAGACAGACCCUGUCCAGAGAACACCAAGAAAUAUGCAGUAUUAAAGCGAACCUCCAAUAAGAUGCUUGGCGGCAGUGCACCAAGACCUCUACAUACCUCUACCCCGCAGCGUCCAACACAAUCAAAUAGUAUGUAGUCCAAAUUUGUCAGCAGGGAAUAGGGUUAUGUAAGCCUAUUUCUUUUUAUAUCAUCAAUACAAAAUAUAUUUUUUUAAAUCAAAUACUAUUUACAAGGCUCUUUUUGGCUAGAGCUUUUCAGCCUUUUAAAAUUUAAAUAAUUUUCAUGAUGUUUUUGUCCCUAUUCUACAUUUUUAUAUACAUAAAAAACAUUGAUUAUUUCCUACUUUCAUAAAUAUGCUUUUGAGUCAAGCUGACUGUUUGAUUUUUGUUCUACUUUAGUUUUUAUAGUUAGCAUUUUCACAUAAAAGAUAGCUUUUUAGAUGUAAGUUAUAAGAAUUGUAUAUCAUAUCAGAUUUCGUGCCAUUAUGCACAUGUAAGAGACGACUGAGGAUUUAAAUAAAAAUAGAAUGAAAGCUUAA